CACUAUCGUUAACUGAAUACAUAGGUUAACGAGGCGAACCGGGGGAACUGAAACAUCUAAGUACCCCGAGGAAAAGAAAUCAACCGAGAUUCCCCCAGUAGCGGCGAGCGAACGGGGAGCAGCCCAGAGUCUGAAUCAGCUUGUGUGUUAGUGGAACGGUCUGGAAAGUCCGACGGUACAGGGUGAUAGUCCCGUACACCAAAAUGCACAGG
rnacentral:rRNA from 3 species